rnacentral:rRNA from 1 species
GACGAACGCUGGCGGCGUGCUUAACACAUGCAAGUCGAACGGAAAGGCCCUGCUUUCGUGGGGUUCUCGAGUGGCGAACGGGUGAGUAACACGUGAGUAACCUGCCCUUGACUUUGGGAUAACUUCAGGAAACUGGGGCUAAUACCGGAUAGGAGCUCCUGCUGCAUGGUGGGGGUUGGAAAGUUUCGGCGGUUGGGGAUGGACUCGCGGCUUAUCAGCUUGUUGGUGGGGUAGUGGCUUACCAAGGCUUUGACGGGUAGCCGGCCUGAGAGGGUGACCGGCCACAAUGGUACUACGAUACGGCCCAGACUCCUACGGGAGGCAGCAGUGGGAAGUAUUGCACAAUGGGCGGAAGCCUGAUGCGGCGACGCCGCGUGCGGGAUGACGGCCUUCGGGUUGUAAACCGCUUUCGCCUGUGACGAAGCGUGAGUGACGGUACUGGGUAAAGAAGCACCGGCUAACUACGUG